rnacentral:piRNA from 1 species
UGCUUCAAUAGGUGUGAUAGAGAAC